rnacentral:tRNA from 1 species
GGAGUUGUGGCUCAGUGGUAGAGCACUUGCCUAGCAUGCAUGAGGCACCGAAUUCAAUCCCU